GGGGCCAGGUGAGCUCUCGGUUUCAGGCACGCAGCUAUACAGUUUUAGACCGCGGCCAGCGUUGGUUAUUUUUGUUUUUUUUGUUUAGUUUGGAUAAAA